rnacentral:rRNA from 1 species
AUUGAACGCUGGCGGCAUGCCUUACACAUGCAAGUCGAACGGUAACGGGCCUUCGGGUGCCGACGAGUGGCGAACGGGUGAGUAAUGCAUCGGAACGUACCUUUCAGUGGGGGAUAACGUAGCGAAAGUUACGCUAAUACCGCAUAUUCUGUGAGCAGGAAAGCAGGGGAUCGCAAGACCUUGCGCUGAUUGAGCGGCCGAUGUCAGAUUAGCUAGUUGGUGAGGUAAAGGCUCACCAAGGCGACGAUCUGUAGCGGGUCUGAGAGGAUGAUCCGCCACACUGGAACUGAGACACGGUCCAGACUCCUACGGGAGGCAGCAGUGGGGAAUUUUGGACAAUGGGGGCAACCCUGAUCCAGCCAUGCCGCGUGAGUGAAGAAGGCCUUCGGGUUGUAAAGCUCUUUCAGACGGAAAGAAACGCAUCGGUGAAUACCCGGUGUGGAUGACGGUACCGUAAGAAGAAGCACCGGCUAACUACGUGCCAGCAGCCGCGGU